rnacentral:tRNA from 1 species
GGCCGGUUAGCUCAGUCGGUAGAGCAUGAGACUCUUAAUUUCAGGGUCGUGGGUUCGAGCCCCACAUUGGGCG